AGCGGCGGACGGGUGAGUAACACGUGGGUAACCUGCCUGUAAGACUGGGAUAACUCCGGGAAACCGGGGCUAAUACCGGAUGGUUGUCUGAACCGCAUGGUUCAGACAUAAAAGGUGGCUUCGGCUACCACUUACAGAUGGACCCGCGGCGCAUUAGCUAGUUGGUGAGGUAACGGCUCACCAAGGCAACGAUGCGUAGCCGACCUGAGAGGGUGAUCGGCCACACUGGGACUGAGACACGGCCCAGACUCCUACGGGAGGCAGCAGUAGGGAAUCUUCCGCAAUGGACGAAAGUCUGACGGAGCAACGCCGCGUGAGUGAUGAAGGUUUUCGGAUCGUAAAGCUCUGUUGUUAGGGAAGAACAAGUGCCGUUCAAAUAGGGCGGCACCUUGACGGUACCUAACCAGAAAGCCACGGCUAACUACGUGCCAGCAGCCGCGGUAAUACGUAGGUGGCAAGCGUUGUCCGGAAUUAUUGGGCGUAAAGGGCUCGCAGGCGGUUUCUUAAGUCUGAUGUGAAAGCCCCCGGCUCAACCGGGGAGGGUCAUUGGAAACUGGGGAACUUGAGUGCAGAAGAGGAGAGUGGAAUUCCACGUGUAGCGGUGAAAUGCGUAGAGAUGUGGAGGAACACCAGUGGCGAAGGCGACUCUCUGGUCUGUAACUGACGCUGAGGAGCGAAAGCGUGGGGAGCGAACAGGAUUAGAUACCCUGGUAGUCCACGCCGUAAACGAUGAGUGCUAAGUGUUAGGGGGUUUCCGCCCCUUAGUGCUGCAGCUAACGCAUUAAGCACUCCGCCUGGGGAGUACGGUCGCAAGACUGAAACUCAAAGGAAUUGACGGGGGCCCGCACAAGCGGUGGAGCAUGUGGUUUAAUUCGAAGCAACGCGAAGAACCUUACCAGGUCUUGACAUCCUCUGACAAUCCUAGAGAUAGGACGUCCCCUUCGGGGGCAGAGUGACAGGUGGUGCAUGGUUGUCGUCAGCUCGUGUCGUGAGAUGUUGGGUUAAGUCCCGCAACGAGCGCAACCCUUGAUCUUAGUUGCCAGCAUUCAGUUGGGCACUCUAAGGUGACUGCCGGUGACAAACCGGAGGAAGGUGGGGAUGACGUCAAAUCAUCAUGCCCCUUAUGACCUGGGCUACACACGUGCUACAAUGGACAGAACAAAGGGCAGCGAAACCGCGAGGUUAAGCCAAUCCCACAAAUCUGUUCUCAGUUCGGAUCGCAGUCUGCAACUCGACUGCGUGAAGCUGGAAUCGCUAGUAAUCGCGGAUCAGCAUGCCGCGGUGAAUAC
rnacentral:rRNA from 1 species